CUGAUGUAGACCUGACAUUUGUAGAAAGACAUUUGUAUUUUUAAUGCGAUUGGCAUAUAGAAUCUAAUUUCGGCAUACCUAUUGUUGGACAUGAAACGAAGCUAUUUUGAGAGGCGGCUGUAGCUCAGAGGUGGAACCCUCGCCUGAGAUGGAACGAGUUUCGAGACUGAUCGUCAUCGAUGGAUAAUCAAAGUAUUAAAUAAAAAAAAUAUAUCCCCAACAUUGGAGUUUACAGGCAAGACAGAUUUGUUUCUAUCUUUGAAUGACACGGGAACACCAAAAGACUAUCAACUUUGACAGGCAUGUGGAAACGGCUUACACGGUACACCCAACCUUUAAUGAGCACUCACCGCUGAACUAAGAAGACUUCGCCUUCCUAGCUUUGGCUGUAUGUUGUGACUAGAAUGUUACGUAUUAUCCUUCUCCUCAAGUACACUAACGUUCUGACGUCUCGAGUGGAUGUACACUAUGUAAGAAGCAUGUCUUAUCUUGUACAUUAGCGCGCAUAUUGUCGUUACGUCAUUCCGAUAAUCGAUAUCGACGAAGGUUCAUCUUUACAAAAGCAGUAAGAAGCUUUAAGCGACGCGGGCGAACUGCUGGAAUGCCGAAGGAACAGUCGAGACAAUCGGCGAUCGACAGGUGGAGUUAAGUAGAUAUGUAACACCGGCCUCGGUGGCGCAGUGGUUAAGCUAUCGGACUACAGGCUGGUUCGCAGCCCGGUACCAGGUCCAACCCAGAGCGAGUUCUUAAAGGCUCAGUGG